AUAUAUAUAUAUAUAUAUAUAUAUAUAUAUAUAUAUAUAUUCACAAUAUUGUUUUAAAGAAUACUUCACCGAGAAAUGGAAAUGUUUGUCUUAAUUUACUCACCCAUAAUAUAACACAAUAUUAUUUUCUCUUCUUGUAUUAGACAAAAAAGUGGAUGGCAAUUUAAUUGAUACUCCGCCACAAAGGGAAAAAAUGCAUCGUAAAAGUAUACAAUAUGACUUUUAAGCCAUAUUCCAAGUCUUAAAAGAGUUAUAUGAUAGCUUUGUAUGAAGAUUAGAUUCAAAAUAUUCACAGAUAUUUUUAAUUUGCUGUACAUUGAAUGGUGUCCACUGUUUCACUGUUCACUGUUUUAUAUCUAGACGUGCUUCUGCUAAAAAGAUCUGUAGGGAAAUGCGUAGGAUAUGGAAAAUUUUGCAUCUUUCAUGCUGUUUGUUGUAUUGUUGACUCUCACUCUGUCUGAAUGAUGGAUGUCUUCAGCAGAGAAGCGAGCAGCACACAUAUCAGUUCAUCAGAAUUACACCAGCCAGUAGCAUCCAAUACUUCUUGUAAUACAUGAUGUUAUUCGAUCAAUUAUUUAAAGGGCGUCAGGGCUGAUAGAAUCUCAUAAUGGGUUUCUCAUAAACACGGCCUGUUUCUUAUGAUGCAGCUCAGUACCUGAUUUGAUCAAGGGUUAAAAAGAAUUCCCAUAAUAUUUUUUAUAGAAAAUGAGAUCAAGACUGAAACUUUCUGAAAAGCAAUUCCUCAUCUUGCUUCAGGCAGAGAAAUUCUUCCAGAACUCAGAAGCCUUUUUUUUUCAAGUCUGUGAGCAACAUGGAUCUGGAAAAUCCUGUUUUAAUAGAUGUUGAUUUUCCUAUAGGCAUGUAAUUUAAUAGUAAUGCAUGUGAUACUAUAGAAUAGUAUUGCAAGGGCUGACGCUGUGGGAUCAGAUGCACGAUUAAAAUGAGGUUCAGUGGCUCCUGUUUCAGACAGUGCCUUUUCACCUCUGCAUGAGACUCACAGAGUCAUAUUCCUCCACUUGACCGCACAUCCCAUUGCUUCAGGAAAUCAGUUCAUUUGAAACUUUCAUCUGCAAGCGGGGAGAUUUCUGAAUCAUAGCUCACCCAUGAGAAGGUCCCAGAGUUACCUCAUCCUUUUCUCGUUCAAUGUAAGGAAGGAUAUCAAUGCAAUCACCUUGAACUAAAUGUCAAGACUGGACUGAUUCUUAUGCAUGGAGAUUACUUAUAUGAUCUAGAGCAAUACUGUACUGUCUUUUAUAAAUAAACUACAAUGAUAAAAUAUGAAGAAAUAAAAUAUAUGCACUGGACAUUUCAUGUGCACUUAUUUUUGUUGAAAUGAAAAGCAGGUGCCAGAUUUGUUCUAUGUAAAUAAUCUAAAUAAUAAUAUGCAGCUUAGCAUAAUGCAUGGUUACAGCAGAAAAUAAGUGAAUCACGUUUAAAGGAAAGAGAAAAUGCUUUCCACAUCUUUGUUUGUUUGUUUGUUUAAGUUGAAGGCUGUAGCAAAUUGCUCUGUGACUUGUUAGAAGCAACCAAAUUAUAACAUGGACA
ensembl:lncRNA